rnacentral:rRNA from 1 species
UAAACUAAGUUUCAACAACGGAUCUCUUGGCUCUCGCAUCGAUGAAGAACGCAGCGAAAUGCGAUAAGUAAUGUGAAUUGCAGAAUUCAGUGAAUCAUCGAAUCUUUGAACGCACCUUGC